AUACGUAGGGUGCAAGCGUUAAUCGGAAUUACUGGGCGUAAAGCGUGCGCAGGCGGUUUUGUAAGACAGUGGUGAAAUCCCCGGGCUCAACCUGGGAACUGCCAUUGGGACUGCAAGGCUGGAGUGCGGCAGAGGGGGAUGGAAUUCCGCGUGUAGCAGUGAAAUGCGUAGAUAUGCGGAGGAACACCGAUGGCGAAGGCAAUCCCCUGGGCCUGCACUGACGCUCAUGCACGAAAGCGUGGGGAGCAAACAGGAUUAGAUACCCUGGUAGUCCACGCCCUAAACGAUGUCAACUGGUUGUUGGGGAUUUAUUUUCUCAGUAACGAAGCUAACGCGUGAAGUUGACCGCCUGGGGAGUACGGCCGCAAGGUUAAAACUCAAAGGAAUUGACGGGG
rnacentral:rRNA from 1 species